ensembl:lncRNA
GGCGGGAAGUGGAGUGCUGCUCAUCACCUCCAGCAGAACCCCCGCUGCACGUACCCUGACCCUGGACUUCCGGCUGCUGGAACCACGAGAGGGUCCACUUCUGGCACUCCCGAGCCAUCAGUCUGUGAUGAUUCGCUGCAGCGUCUGGAGGAAACUACCAUGAGCGAGCCACUCAGUCGUGUCCAGCUCUUUGCAGCCCCAUGGACGGCAGCCCACCAGGCUGCAUGGGAUUCUCCAGGUACCUUAGGGAGACUGAGUCAUGCGUUCCUGCUCUGGAGGUGAACGGGAUGCCUGACCUGGCAGCAUCGUGGAGGGGGCAGGGUCUUCAUAGCCACCUCCCCCACCCCUCCCCUGGUCAGUGUCAUCAGCUGUGCGGCUCCCGCAGCUCAGGAGUGACAGUGCUCGUGUAAUUCAUUAAGAGGAGUUCGUACUUGGCCCCUGAUCCAGCAUGACGAGUGUCUUUGUAAAAAGGGGAAAUUUAGACACAGACAAGCAUCGAGGGAAGAUGGUGUGAGAGACACAGGCUGAAGACGGCUGUCGAGAGGCCAAGAACAGAGGUCUGGACCAGAUCCUCAGUCUCAGCCUCGAAGGAACCAGUCCUACUUGAUCAACAGCGUCCAGCCUCCAGAA